rnacentral:rRNA from 1 species
GAUGAACGCUGGCGGCGUGCCUAAUACAUGCAAGUCGAGCGAACAGACGAGGAGCUUGCUCCUCUGACGGUAGCGGCGGACGGGUGAGUAACACGUGGAUAACCUACCUAUAUGUCUGGGAUAACUUCGGGAAACCGGAUCUAAUACUGGAUAAUAUAUUGAACCGCAUGGUUCAAUAGUGAAAGACGGUUUGCUGUCACUUAUAGAUGGAUCCUCGCUGCAUUAGCUAGUUGGUAAGGUAACGGCUUACCAAGGCAACGAUGCGUAGCCGACCUGAGAGGGUGAUCGGCCACACUGGAACUGAGACACGGUCCAGACUCCUACGGGAGGCAGCAGUAGGGAAUCUUCCGCAAUGGGCGAAAGCCUGACGGAGCAACGCCGCGUGAGUGAUGAAGGUCUUCGGAUCGUAAAGCUCUGUUAUUAGGGAAGAAAAAAUGUGUAAGUAAAUAUGCACGUCUUGACGGUACCUAAUCAGAAAGCCACGGCUAACUACGUG